UACGGAGGGUGCAAGCGUUGUUCGGAAUCACUGGGCGUAAAGGGCGUGUAGGCGGUCCGCUAAGUCUGAUGUGAAAGCCCGGGGCUCACCCCCGGAAGGGCAUUGGAAACUGGCGGACUCGAGUCCCGGAGAGGAAGGUGGAAUUCCUGGUGUAGCGGUGAGAUGCGUAGAUAUCAGGAGGAACACCGGUGGCGAAGGCGGAUCUCUGGGCCUUACCUGACGCUCAGGCGCGAAAGCUAGGGGAGCGAACAGG
rnacentral:rRNA from 1 species